GGGGUGCAAACUGUUCUACCCUGAGAACAAUAUAUAUAUCAAUGAUAAGGUCAAAGAUAGAUUAUGGCUGUGAAGUUUAUAACUCAGCCUCCCACUCUGUCAAGAAAAAACUAGAUAGUAUUCAAGCCCAAGCAUUAAGAAUAUGUGCAGGUGCUCAUAAAACUGCCAGUAUAAGUGGAUUACAGACUGAAAUUGGUGACCCC
rnacentral:lncRNA from 1 species